AGCCCUGGGGUGUAACAUAUAAGAUUGCAAAUCUUAAGAAGCAGAUUAACCUCUGCCGGGGCUU